UACGGAGGGUGCAAGCGUUGUCCGGAAUCACUGGGCGUAAAGGGCGCGUAGGCGGCGCGAUAAGCGAGUGGUGAAAGCCUGGGGCUCAACCCCGGGUCGGCCAUGCGAACUGUCGGGCUCGAGCACUGUAGAGGCAGGCGGAAUUCCGGGUGUAGCGGUGGAAUGCGUAGAGAUCCGGAAGAACACCGGAGGCGAAGGCGGCUUGCUGGGCUCGGUCUGACGCUGAGGCGCGAAAGCGUGGGGAGCGAACAGG
rnacentral:rRNA from 1 species